GAUGAACGCUGGCGGCGUGCCUAAUACAUGCAAGUCGAGCGAACGGACGAGAAGCUUGCUUCUCUGAUGUUAGCGGCGGACGGGUGAGUAACACGUGGAUAACCUACCUAUAAGACUGGGAUAACUUCGGGAAACCGGAGCUAAUACCGGAUAAUAUUUUGAACCGCAUGGUUCAAAAGUGAAAGACGGUCUUACUGUCACUUAUAGAUGGAUCCGCGCUGCAUUAGCUAGUUGGUAAGGUAACGGCUUACCAAGGCAACGAUGCAUAGACGACCUGAGAGGGUGAUCGGCCACACUGGAACUGAGACACGGUCCAGAGUCCUACGGGAGGCAGCAGUAGAGAAUCUUCCGCAAUGGGCGAAAGCCUGACGGAGCAACGCCGCGUGAGUGAUGAAGGUCUUCGGAUCGUAAAACUCUGUUAUUAGGGAAGAACAUAUGUGUAAGUAACUGUGCACAUCUUGACGGUACCUAAUCAGAAAGCCACGGCUAACUACGUG
rnacentral:rRNA from 1 species